AAAAAAGUUAUUAGGACCGUCUGGGCCAAGGGCCGGUUGUUCAAAAGCCGAUUAGCUUAAGUUAACUUAAAAUUCAAAGCACAAUUCCUAAAAGCUUGUUUAUAAAUUUGAAAAUAUUUCUUCACAAAUCAUGUCUGGUUCAAUAGAAUUUCUUUUCUGACAUUUUGAAACACUGAAAUGAACAUGCAGAAAUAUGCAAACUAAAACAGCGGGUUAAAUUUUAACCCUGGGUUAGCGCUAAUCCACCUUUGAACAACCGGCCCCAAGGCUAUAUAGUAUAUUUGAGAAAUGGCAAGCGAAAAUAAUUUUGGAUUGGAAAUUACAUUCGAAAUUCCAUGUAAAAGCCCAUGAUGAAGUUAUUUCGUAGCCUUUCACUGACCUCAGAAUGACAUUUCGUCAAAACUUUUCUUCAAGAUUGGUUUAGAAACAAACUUGGAGUAGGGUUAGGUUAGAGUAAGGAUUAGAGUUG